rnacentral:rRNA from 1 species
AGUGAACGCUGGCGGCAGGCCUAACACAUGCAAGUCGAACGGCAGCACAGUAAGAGCUCGCCCUUACGGGUGGCGAGUGGCGGACGGGUGAGGAAUACAUCGGAAACCACUUUUUCGUGGGGGACAACGUAGGGAAACUGACGCUAAUACCGCAUACGACCUACGGGUGAAAGCAGGGGAUCUUCGGACCUUGCCCGAUUGAAAGAGCCGAUGUCGGAUUAGCUAGUUGGCGGGGUAAAGGCCCACCAAGGCGACGAUGCGUAGCUGAUCUGAGAGGGUGAUCGGCCACACUGGAACUGAGACACGGUCCAGACUCCUACGGGAGGCAGCAGUAGGGAAUAUUGCGCAAUGGGCGAAAGCCUGACGGAGCAACGCCGCGUGAGUGAAGAAGGUCUUCGGAUUGUAAAACCCUGUUAUUAGGGAAGAAAAGAAGUGGAAGUAACCGCGCAUGUCUUGACGGUACCUAAUGAGAAAGCCCCGGCUAACUUCGUG